CCUACGGGAGGCAGCAGUGGGGAAUAUUGCACAAUGGGGGAAACCCUGAUGCAGCGACGCCGCGUGAGUGAAGAAGUCCUUCGUUAUGUAAAGCUCUUUCAGCAGGGAAGAAAAUGACGGUACUUGAGUAUGAAUACGCGGCUAACUACGAGCCAGCAGCCGCGGUAAUACGUAGGGGGGAGUCGUUAUCCGGAUUUACUGGUGGUAAAGGGAGCGUAGACGGCAGUGCAAGACUGGAGUGAAAGGCGGGGGCUCAACCCCCGGACUGCUCUGGAAACUGUAGGGCUGGAGUGCAGGAGAGGUAGGUGGAAUUCCGAGUGUAGCGGUGAAAUGCGUAGAUAUUAGGAGGAACACCAGUGGCGAAGGCGGCUUACUGGACUGUAACUGACGUUGAGGCUCGAAAGCGUGGGGAGCAAACAGGAUUAGAUACCCUUGUAGUC
rnacentral:rRNA from 1 species